rnacentral:rRNA from 1 species
UACGUAGGGUGCGAGCGUUAAUCGGAAUUACUGGGCGUAAAGCGUGCGCAGGCGGUUUUGUAAGCCGGAUGUGAAAUCCCCGGGCUUAACCUGGGAAUGGCAUUCGGGACUGCAAGGCUGGAGUGCGGCAGAGGAGACUGGAAUUCCUGGUGUAGCAGUGAAAUGCGUAGAUAUCGGGAGGAACACCGAUGGCGAAGGCAGGUCUCUGGGCUGACACUGACGCUGAAGCGCGAAAGCCAGGGGAGCGAACGGG